GAUACGUUCGGUUGAAGAAGGCGUCGAUGAAUUGGCAAUGGCAACGGCCAAAAACGGUUAACUGAAAGGAGGCUAAAAUAAAUCUUGCACAAUAAGUUUACUGAACGGCGAUGGCGUCAAAACGCUCAAAGCGGCCAACAACAACAACAACAUAGCCAAGUGGAACAAGAGCAACGCAAAUGACACGAGCCAAGGGA